rnacentral:rRNA from 1 species
AUGGCCUUCCUCCUCCCACGCCCCUUGCUCUGGCCAUGGCCAUGGCGCCCGCGCCAAGACCAGCGGGCAGCCACCUCCUGCCCGCCGGUAGGGCCUCGUCCCUACCUCCGGAUGCGCCAAGCUCGUCGUCGUCCUCGCCCUGUGAGCUCACCAUCGCGCCGCUGCCUCGCUGCAGCUGCUUCUUCUCUGUCCCGUUCUGCUGCCUCACACGUCCGGUCGCCGCCGGUGCCCACGACUAGCGUUGUGCCUCUGCUCGUGGAUGCCGCUGCCAGUGUGCACACCCUGCUGCUACUUCGUCGGCUGCCUCCCUUCAUUGACCACCAAGAACCGAGGCCUAUUUUGUUGCUUCGUUUGGAUGCGUCAAGGUCCUCUACUAGCCGUGCACGCCUUGGGAUUCAUCCAAGUUCCGAUGAUGCUUUUGUACAACUACACCGUGGAGACCAAGACCGGCAAGUCCACACGGGAGCCCGGACGACUACUUCCAUGAUGAUGCGAGUACAAGUACCCUCGACGUGUUUUUCGCCAAGUAUCGCGACACCCAGAUCCUUCGGAUCAGUCAAGUUCAUCUACGAAAACAUGUAUGACCAUCGUCGAAACUGCAAAGUACCUCUACGCACGGAUAUCGCCAAGUACCACGAUACCGACGACAUCCACUACUACUGUCACCGAGGGUUUCGUCAAGUUCAACUUCUUUGGCUACGAAUGGUGAUGACCCGAACAUCUACGGACGUGUACGACCACCGUUGCCCGAAGAACCGCGGGUCACAAGCACCGGGAACAACUACCGUCCCCGUGGAUCCGACAAGUUCGCAAGAAGGACAACUUCCCACAAUGACCCGUGAACAACUACUUCCACGACGACCGUGUACAACCACCGUCGCGAGAACGUAUACUUCCUCUACUUUGCACCGAACCCGGGACCGCUCCGAGAAUUCACCCUUCGAAGGUAUAGCUGCCGAGACGAUGACCCGUGGACCGAAUGCAUAUGUUGUAUGA